rnacentral:lncRNA from 1 species
GCUCUGGGGUUCGCUGGUUUUCCACGCCUCUCCCGGCCCCACCCUCCAAAGAUUUCAUUUUAUAGCUCUUUGGGGAAUUCAUAUGAUGCCAUGACCUUCAUUACUCAAAAGCACUAGUCAUAAAAUUCCAGCCUUGACUCCUGCUCAGUGGUUAAAUAUUGAUGAUAAUGAGAAAUAGAGGCACUGACCGGGCACUCAACAACACUGGUGACUUCAGACCAUGAAGGUCAGGCAGAGCCUGUUUGCCCCGAGGCCACUCAUUCAAGAGGUCAGUCACCCUGUGGCAGAGAAGGCUGCAGGCCUGGGUAUGUGCUGAGGGCAGAGCUACUCUACUGGCUCAGCUGUUGCAGACUCCAGACACAGGCACAGGCACGGUCCUCCGGGCUGCAGCUGCACUUUCCUGGAGAGAGCUCAGGAACGAAGACCAUCAUCCUGUGCAUCCUGUGCUCCGCUGGGGAGGAGGAAGAGAACAACGGAAAUCAGUGCUGCACCCAAGAGCAGCUGGAGGCCCCAGAGCACAGGGUCUGGGGAUCUUCAGGGCUUAUCUGCUCAGGGCUCAGCUCCUAGAACCCCAGGGAAGCAGCUGGGACCAAGGGGACCUAAGGAAUAGGGCAUGGACCAGAACAAGGAGGCCAUCGGAGCCCCAGCUGGCACCCCAGUGCCCCAGGAGCUGCUGGAGGAAAUGAUUUGGUUUUUCCGUGUAGAAGACGCAUCUGCUUGGAAUUACUCCAUCCUCGUCCUGACAGUCAUGGUGGUGGUCUUGAGCAUGUUCCUCCUGGUCAGGAGCAUCCAGGCAAACAGGUGAGGAGCAGGGCUGGGGGUCUCUGGAGGGGACCUGCCUUGCCUCCCAGAGGGAAAUCUAGGGAGGGCACCAGCCUUCUGCACAGCAAAGGAGCCUUCUGGCUCCUUUGAGAACCCAAAGCUGUUCUAAAACCUGCAACUGUCCCUGAUUACCACCUCCUGGCUCUGGCAGGCAAGCAGGAGUGAGUGUAGCCAUUAAGAAGGUGGCUUUGAAGUUGGCAUGAUGGCACUUGCCUGUAAUCCCAACACUCUGAGAGGCUGAGGCAGGAGGAUCCCAAAUUUGAGCCCAACCUAAGCAAUUUAGUGAGACCUGUCUCAAAAUAAAAAAUAAAAAUGGUUGGGGACAUAGCUUAGUGUGAAGGCCCUGGGUUCCACCCCCAGUACUAGAGGGAAAAAAAGCAGAAGGUAGCUUUGCCCUUCACCUGUCAGGAAGCCCCAUCUCAAAGUGAACUCAAGAGGCAAGGCACUAUCCUCAAGAACAGGGGACACUGGCCACGCCCUUGUGACACUGGCCACGCCCUUGUGACCCACAGGGUGGGGAGUCUCUCAGCACAGCUAGGUCCCUCCCUUGUGGCCAGGAAGGCUGGGGCACCUUGAAUAAAGCCAACUCAAGGGCUGGGGAUUUAGCUCAGUGGCACCGCACCUGCCUUGCAAGCACAGGUCCUGAGUUCAAUCCCCGGUACUGGAAAAAAAAUUAAAAAUAAAACUAACUCGGAGAGAAGACAGAUGGGUGGGAGUUACUGCAAGGAAGAGGAGGUUGAGGAAAGGGGCGGUGCAUGGGACAGGGGGUUCUCACAUGUGGCUGGUGCAGUGGGAGGCUGGGGUGGCACUGUGAGCAGACAGGCUAGGAAUUUCCUGCAACAGCUGGGAGGUGAGUGCAGGACAAGGACCUGUACUUAGUAGGAUGACAGCCCUGGGGCCAGGGACAGUAUGGUUGGUGCAAAGAACACAGGACUUACAGUGGGGGGACUUAAUGUAUAACUCACAUAUGUGCUUCUGUGGCUUUUUUUUUUUUUUUUUUUGAUACUGAGGAUUUAAACUACAGCCUUUGCCAUAGCUAUAUCCUGAGCCCUUAUAAUAGUUUUUUUUUUUA